rnacentral:ribozyme from 1 species
CAAGACACAAAAAAGGCAAAAAAAAGGGGGGGCAAAUAAUUGUAACCCCUGGUUUUUGUUUUUUGUUUGGUUUUUGUGUGGUGUCUUAUU